GCAAGGGUACCCAAGCCUGGUCAAAGGGGUAGGACUUAAGAUCCUAUGACUUAGUGUCUUCGCAGGUUCAAAUCCUGUCCCUUGCA
rnacentral:tRNA from 1 species